rnacentral:rRNA from 1 species
AGUCUGACGGAGCAACGCCGCGUGAGUGAUGAAGGCUUUCGGGUCGUAAAACUCUGUUGUUAGGGAAGAACAAGUACGAGAGUAACUGCUUGUACCUUGACGGUACCUAACCAGAAAGCCACGGCUAACUACGUGCCAGCAGCCGCGGUAAUACGUAGGUGGCAAGCGUUAUCCGGAAUUAUUGGGCGUAAAGCGCGCGCAGGCGGUUUCUUAAGUCUGAUGUGAAAGCCCACGGCUCAACCGUGGAGGGUCAUUGGAAACUGGGGAACUUGAGUGCAGAAGAGAAAAGCGGAAUUCCACGUGUAGCGGUGAAAUGCGUAGAGAUGUGGAGGAACACCAGUGGCGAAGGCGGCUUUUUGGUCUGUAACUGACGCUGAGGCGCGAAAGCGUGGGGAGCAAACAGGAUUAGAUACCCUGGUAGUCCACGCCGUAAACGAUGAGUGCUAAGUGUUAGAGGGUUUCCGCCCUUUAGUGCUGCAGCUAACGCAUAAGCA